GUGAGCUCAGAGCCGGUGUGUGGGAGCGUCGCUGGGAGAAAGGAGCGGACAGAAUUCACAAAUCUCGGAUAGAGGUACUCAUGGAGUUCCUGACUCAAUAGACUUGCCAACUGCUGGUUGGGACGAUGGUUGGUCAGCCAGAAAGACAAAGUCAGGGAGGUCGGAGACUUCAAUCAAUCCUGCUGCCAGGUACAAUGGUGAUCCUGUAAGAGACCAGUGCGGAAUGGGAUGUUAUAAAUCUCUGCUGAGGCUUGCGGCCUACCAUUACCUGGGAGUCACUAAGGGAGAGAGUCUGAGAGAGCAGCACAAAGCGGGAGAAUAUAAAUCAGCAGUGAGGGUCAAGGCCGACUGGGACUUGGAUCUGGAGAAACAGCAGAGCAGGAGGCUCGAAAUCAGCACCGAGUCACAGAGGGAGUGACCCCCCGUGUGAGGGAGCAACUUGGAGCAGGAGCUUGAGGCUGACUCACACCUGGGAGAAUAUAAAUCAGCACUGAGGAUCGAGGCCUAGCUGUACCUGGGAGUGACAGAGACGGUGACCCUGUGAGGGAGCAGACUGGAGUGAGAGCUGGACGAUUACACGUCCGAGGAGACACAUCACUAUGGCGGGAUUCAAUCCUGCCUCCCCUGAACAUUAGCUGAGGUUUUGGAAACAUUCUCUAGCAAUAAUACCACGAGGCCAUCACUUCACCUGCUCACUGGGUUGCUCAUCCCUGAGCACUGAUACCAGGGCAUCAUGAAGCUAAACCUAUUCUUCCAACAUGACUGUGUGAUCCUGACAUCUUCCAGCAAUCUGGGACUAUUACUUAAUAUCGCUCCAUUUUACAGAUCUCUGUGGGACUCAGUGCCAUUCUCCGUGUGUAACCCUCACUGCAUCUGUUUCAUUUCCCAUUCUGUCUAUUUCUCUGUCUCCUGUAGUUACUCAGGAAAGUCCUGACUCAAUAGCCUUCCCAUCUGCGAGGUGGAUCGUCCAUCACCACAUUGAACGCAGUUGGUCUGCCAGAGAGAGACAAAGGGCAGGGAGAUCUGGAGCCUUCAAUAAAUCCUGUAGUGAGGUAUUCCUGAUGUCCCUGACUCAGCACAAUUCCCAAUUCCUGUCUCGUCCAUCACCACAUUGAAGGCAGUUGGUCAGCCAGAGAGAGAUGGAGAGGGAGAUCUGGAGCCUUCAGUAAAUCCUGCAGCCGGUACUCAGGAAGUUCCUGACUCAAUAGACUUCCCAACUGCUGUGUGUCUCAUCCAUCAACUCAUUGAAGAUGGUUGGUCAGCCAGAGAGACAAAGGGCAGGGAGAUCUGGAGCCUUCAAUAAAUCCUGC